GAGACAGGUGGCUCGCAUGCAAAAUAGAAAGGAAGGAGACGACAUCCGGCUUCUGCGGAUGGUUUUGGCACGGUAUUUCCCAUGGUUUUGAUAUGAUGGGAGACGGAGAUAUCAACGAGAGCUUUGAUCUGGAUUCUGCCGACAUAGAGAAAAAGUUCAGCCAGACAGAGAGUGAGGUUGAGAAGAAAAAGUUCAGAAGAAUCCAAAACCGCAAGCGCCAAACAGCAAUCGGCAAGCUUUUCAGAUCAAAAACAAAGAAUCCAAAACAAACCCAGACCAAUGCGUGCGUAAUUGAGCUCAUUUGGUCAAAUCGGAAUAUCUGAUUGAGCAUCCAUUUGAUCAAUCGGAGGAUCCAAUUCAGCAAUCAGAUAUCUUUGAUAUAUUGAGGUUCAACCGUUCAGGUAAGCUUCUUAUUUGGUCGAUUGGUCUGACAGUUUGGUUUUGAAUUUUGGGUGCGAUUGAUUGGAUUUUGUAUUUCGGUGCAUGCAAUUUUGGGUAGUGCGUGUGACUGCGGUUUUGUGGGUGACAGAGAUUUUGUCUGUGUUCUCUCACUUGAAAUCAAACUCAUAUUGCAAGUGUGCUGGGUUUUCCUUCACGUCUGCUUAUUAUUAUACAGUUGAAAAGUACAAAAGGAUUACCUAAAUGGAAGGAAGAAGAUACAAAGAACAAAAAGGAAGAGGAUUUGUAAUAGGUUUCGUUUAUGUAAUUUGAUGAGUUUAAUGGAUAGUUUUUUAUUUAUUUAUUUAUUUUGGAUGCAUGCGAUGUUGUAAUAUUUGUUCUUAGUUUUUGGUGGACAAAGAAAAUGAUUGAUCAUGGGGAAUGGUAUGAUCGCUUUCAAGGUGAAGGGUUUGCUCUGACUUGAUCUGGGUUUUCCCCUUUUUCUUAUUUUGACUCAGUUUGUGGUUCUAAUUUGAAUAGUUCACUCUUCACAAUAUAAUACUAGACUCUGUUAAAGAGAGGCAGAGAGAGGGAGAUAGAGUUGCAGCAUGCCUGUAGAUAAGAGAAGAGAGAGGGAGAUACAGUCUUCGUAUUUUGAAAUCAAGCAGAGGAAGAUAAUUAUAUUCUGAAAUAGUGGGAAUUGCAGAAAGGUCAGAGAAGAAACUGAAGAAGGUGAAACUAGACGAUAGAAGUUCCAAGGACCGUAGUCUAGAUGAAUCAGAGGGAAGGAUUCAGUAGACAGCUAUUCAUUUGGGGCUUGAAAAUCAGGGAGAUGAGAAGAAUGACAUGAAGAAUUUCACUACAUUGAUUGUGGAUAUGAUGAAAAAAGAGAAACCAUUUGCUUCUCAAGGAGGUCCUAUCAUUAUUGUUCAAACCUUACAAGACCUUUAGCUAACCAAAAUGGAUUACAAAGGCUAAAGUAGGAACACACUAUAAAUUAUUGCAAUGCAUUUGAAUUGAAUUAUAAAUAUAGGGUAUUAUAGAAAAUCCAUAAUUUGGCAAUGCUUUUUGUUACACAUUCCCCUGAAAUAUGUUACAGUUUAUCAUUGCCUCAUGUUCUUAAAUAAAUGAUAUUUAGCUCUCUCCUGUUUCAUUACAACAACAUCUAUUUGAUAAAUUCUUUGAUAAGUUUUACCAGAGUAAUAUUGGCCGACUUUUGCCUUACUAAUUUGCAAUGAUAUCUUCAGUUAUAUGCAAGAUUAUCUCCCCUGUCAGUGCUUCUACUCCUGCUGGAUUGUAAAUGAAAGAUCAGUUUGUUUUUUCACUUCCAUUUGCAAUAAAAUCCAAUUUCAUUUACAGGAUUUGUUACAAUAUAAAAUAAUCAUAAUAAAUCAAACAAAGAUUAAUUGCACACCCGAGCACCACACUCAUGCGCGUGCAGGAAGGCUAGUUACAUAUUAAACCAACCAAGACCAAAGCGCCCGUGCAGGAAGGCUAGUUACAUAUUAAACCAACCAAAACCAAAGUUUCCAUCUGAAGCAUACCUUAUAGAAAAACAAGUUUCAUUGGGAACAGAACUUGCAUGGAAGAUGACAUGCAUAUAUUGGUUUAAAAGCAGAGUAAAACUGUUUCUGCAUAAAUAGAUACAUCAACUUUAGUUCUUCACAACUUCACAUACAUUGUGAUUCUCUUACGGAUUAAAUAUGUAGAGAUUAUUCUUACAUUUUUGUAUGUAUAUUGUCUUAAUUCGUGUUCUUGUAUCAGUUCAUGAACAUCUCACCUAGUAGCUAGAGAGAAACUAUAACAACAAUUCGUGAGGUAUCCAAAGUUGUAAAGUUAUAGAUGACAGGCAGAGAUUUGAAUCAGUAAAGGAACUGAUGCGAUUUGAAUGAGAACUGAAAAGAUGACAACGGGAACGGAAUCUGGAUCAUUUCAAGGAACAAAGGUGCAAGAGUAAUCUGGGUAUCCACUGCUGAAAAGUCAUCUUAAGAACGAAACUGCCCUGGCUUCCCAACGCAGGUUUGGUAACCUUCAGAAUCUGGUUCAUCUUUAUUGUAUGUUUCUUUAUUACUGCAACUUCUUUGCAUUUUUUUUUUUUGGUCUGCAAUUUCUUUGUAUGAGAAAUAGGUCAAAGAGAGGCUCUCUAAAAGUCUAAAUGGGAGGAACAGAUUGAUAUAUCAAUCGUGGAUACGACUAUGGCUCUAGCCUACUUAAUGAAAUUACUCACUGGAUAAUAUACAUUGGUCACCUUGCUACUGCCUAGCUAUUAGAUGAAACCUACCUAUAAAGUUGAACUGUCUGAAAAAAGAAACGUGUUACUGUAGGAAGAAAUUAUCUUGGUUAAACUCAAGUGAAAGGCAUGUCUUAUGUACAAGGAUAUGCAUCUGAACGAGAUGAUCUGCAUACUGCUUAGACAAUCCUGAUGCUCUUUUCCUAGUUCUCCCCCGGAAUUGGGAUAUCAACUACAUGGGCAAGCUCACAGAUCUACUACAUCUUAUUAGAUUAGUAGAUAACCAGAUAUUGUAUUUUGGCUCUUGAUUUCAACAAUGAUUUUCAUGGGAUGGAAAUGAAUCAAAGAAUAUUUUAUAAAUCUUGACAUGGUUGCAGAAAAUAACAAUUUCAGAUUUGUCAUUACACAUCUGUAGCCCUCAAGUAGAUCUACAUUGCCAAACCCUUCAUUAACAUGAUCUGAAGUCCAGUGAUAGCAGAAGUAUUGCAAAAAAGCAGAAUGCGUAAUAUGAAAAAAAUCUA